rnacentral:tRNA from 5 species
GUAAGUGUAGUCAAGUGGAUAUGCCUGACUGGAAAGAAUAUUGUUUGUUUGAUAGGAGCUAACUUUUUGUUUUUGCUGAAUGUUUGAAAUAAAGUAGUAUUCUUUCUAUUUAUUAUAACCACAUGAUAAUAAAUAAAUUUUUUCCGGUCUUGAAAACCGGCGACCCGAAAGGGUUCCAGAGUUCGAAUCUCUGCGCUUCCGCCA